GGCGGGGUUUUCAGUUUUCAAAUGCGCCGGGCGGGCGGGAAAGGCGGCCGAUUUACUGACCCGGAGGAGAAAGACAAGAAAGUAAAGGCUCCCGGCCAAGACUCUGCUGAAGCUUCCAACUGCAAAACCUAGUUGAGACUGGGACAUUGAGGAGCAUCAAGAUUCUCCCUGCUGACCAUCCACCCUGCAACCCAGCUCCCCCAAGACCAGGGAACAAAGUCAAAUCUAAGAACACAGACUCUUAAGCCAGACAGUUAGAAGUUUCAAUGUGAGGUGACCCCCCUUUCCUAGAUAUGUGACAUCUUAUCCCUCUGACCUCAGUUACCCCAUCAACAAGCGAG